rnacentral:rRNA from 1 species
UUUGANNAUGGCUCAGGACGAACGCUGGCGGCGUGCUUAACACAUGCAAGUCGAACGAUGAAGCCCUUCGGGGUGGAUUAGUGGCGAACGGGUGAGUAACACGUGGGCAAUCUGCCCUUCACUCUGGGACAAGCCCUGGAAACGGGGUCUAAUACCGGAUAACACUCUGUCCCGCAUGGGACGGGGUUAAAAGCUCCGGCGGUGAAGGAUGAGCCCGCGGCCUAUCAGCUUGUUGGUGGGGUGAUGGCCUACCAAGGCGACGACGGGUAGCCGGCCUGAGAGGGCGACCGGCCACACUGGGACUGAGACACGGCCCAGACUCCUACGGGAGGCAGCAGUGGGGAAUAUUGCACAAUGGGCGAAAGCCUGAUGCAGCGACGCCGCGUGAGGGAUGACGGCCUUCGGGUUGUAAACCUCUUCAGCAG